GCCAGCCGCCUGGCCACAGCUGUCGCCUCCUGUCUCUGGAUGCAGUUUGCUCAGGUGUAAAGGCUCGAGGUUUGACGAGGUGGUCUUGGUUCGACUUCCCGUUGUCCCUAAUGUCCUGUGACUCAUUCUAAACAGGGAAGGGCGGAGAAAAGGAGGAAAUGGAAGAAGAGAAGGAGAAGGUGGAAAGCAGGUGGCUGAGGCUUCUUCAAAAAGAAGAGAGGAAAACGAGGAAGGCUGCCACAACAAAGAGGAAAACAACACAGAUUUGCCGAAAGUAUUCCUCACAGAGGUGCUAAUCUUGUCUGCACUGGACCGGGACCAUAUCCUGAAUCCCUUUGCAUCUCUAGCAUGAACCACGGACACUGGGCUGCACUGGCCCUCAAGAACAGUUUGUUGAGCCACAGGUAAAGGAAAUCAUCAGCUUUCUUAGGGGUGGUGAUCUGAAGAGUGGGAGCAAGGAAGGGACGACUGGGCUGAAGUGAAGACAGAGGACCCGGCUCUCGCUGUGAUCCCUGUGUUUCCUGGACAUGAAUGGCAAGGUGUUUGGGUGCUAAUUUCUUGCCCCCUGUGCUCCCCGUAAGCUGGCCCCCCGUGUGACUGCAGGGAACACCUUGGCAAAGAGCCUUCUUCAAAGUGUCUCAGCAUGAUGGGGAGCGGGCAUCGCUGCCAGUCACGGAGGACAUGUGUUUCCGGAACCACUGAGUUCCAACCAGUAGCCUCGCCGAGUUCUGGCAAUCUGCGUGUGAACUGUGCCCUACUGCAAAGUGUACCCAGCUUGGGGGCGGGGGGCGGUCACCCCCUCCUUUGAAACUGCUGUUCCUCUCCAUUUGCUGCUGCAGAUGCCAACACAAUUCUUGUUGCAUUAACUUGGCUGGGAGAGUGAGGAAAUGGCAGCAGCAUUAAUUAAAAAUAAUGUGCCACCCAGGAGAUAGCUUGAGCUCACUCCCUCUCUUAGUAUUCCUCUCGAUUCCUUUCCUUCCAGCUUGUGGCUGACGCGCUAUAGGUGCCAGGGAGGGGAACCCGCGAUGUUCAGUAGAAAGAUGACAGAAGAGUGAGAGAUUAGAGAGAGGGGCUCCAAAUGUGAUGAAAAUGUUCAAUCUUAGAGGUAUCUGUAAGGCAGAUUUUUGAAGGCACUAAAAAGAAUAGUAAAAAAAUCAGGGGGAAAGAAUUGGAUUCCUGAAGUUAGGGGGACAAGGGAAGGAUUGGCAGAAAGUGGUAUAAGUGGAUACUUUUAAAAAA